UACGGGGGGAGCAAGCGUUGUUCGGAUUUACUGGGCGUAAAGGGCGUGUAGGCGGCGCAACAAGUCACUUGUGAAAUCUCCGGGCUUAACCCGGAGCGGCCAAGUGAUACUGUCGUGCUAGAGUGCGGAAGGGGCUACUGGAAUUCUCGGUGUAGCGGUGAAAUGCGUAGAUAUCGAGAGGAACACCUGCGGCGAAGGCGGGUAGCUGGGCCGACACUGACGCUGAAGCGCGAAAGCCAGGGGAGCGAACGGG
rnacentral:rRNA from 1 species